rnacentral:rRNA from 1 species
AGUGAACGCUGGCGGCAGGCCUAAUACAUGCAAGUCGAGCGACCGGACAAGAAGCUUGUGCUCUUACGGUUGGCGAGGGACGGGUGGGUAAGACGUGGAUAGCCAACUAAUAUUACGGGGGGAAUUACGGAAAGCCGCAGCUAAUACCACAUAACAUGUUCAACGGCAUGGUGCAACAGUUAAUGAGGGUCUUCCUGUCAGUUAUAGCUGAAUCCGGGCUGGAUUAGCUAGUUGGUAAGGUAACGGCCUACCAAGGCAACGAUGCGUAGCCGACCUGAGAGGGUGAUCGGCCACACUGGAACUGAGACACGGUCCAGACUCCUACGGGAGGCAGCAGUGGGGAAUCUUCCGCAAUGGGCGCAAGCCUGACCGAGCAACGCCGCGUGGGUGAAGAAGGCCUUCGGGUUGUAAAACCCUUUUGUUAGGGAAGAAAAAAAGCGGAAGUAAACAUCGCUGUUCUGACGGUACCCAAACAAUAAGCCCCGGCUAACUUCGUG